UACGGAGGAUGCAAGCGUUAUCCGGAAUGAUUGGGCGUAAAGCGUCCGCAGGUGGCAAUGUAAGUCUGCUGUCAAAGCGUCUGGCUCAACCAGAUAAAGGCAGUGGAAACUACAUAGCUAGAGUAAGGUAGGGGUAGAGGGAAUUCCCAGUGUAGCGGUGAAAUGCGUAGAGAUUGGGAAGAACACCGGUGGCGAAAGCGCUCUACUGGACUGCAACUGACACUCAGGGACGAAAGCUAGGGGAGCGAAUGGG
rnacentral:rRNA from 1 species